GUGCAUGGCACUUUUGUAUUUCACUGAAAAAUAAUAUCGAUUGGUCACCAAGUCAAAAACAAGAUUUAGCUGUUAGUUGAUGUUUUCUGAUAUCUACAAGAUUCCACUUGAUUUGUUUUUGUUUCGUGUAGGAUCGUAUUGUAAAUAAAUGUUUGAUAAUGUCAAUCUUGAAUAACAGUUAUCUUUUUGUUUCUUACUGAAUUGAUAUGAAGGAACCAUACACGCACAGUAUACAGAGGUUAGUCAGUUUCUAUACACAAUGCCUUUUCUUUAUACACUGUUCGAAAUUUUAAAAUAAUAUUUUUAAUCACAAUACAUUAUUAUUGAUAUGAAUUGUAUGUUUGAUGAUUAAAGCAAGAAACUUUGCAGAAUGUAUAUUUAUGUGGUCGUCAAAUUAUGCUUUGGACCAAAUUUAACAAAAAGGCAAUAUGGCGGCCAUUUAAGAAAUCUGUCAAUCAGUCUCAAUUUUACAACCAUGUAAAUAUUAAAGCAAAUAAAAAUUCAAACAAAAUCUCUUAAAAACAUAUAAAAUGUAUUUCAAUAAGUUAAUCAUUACGUUAUAUAAUACUCCAAAGUCUAUUAUAAUGGCCGAAAAUUAAAAAAAAAACCGCCAAAAAGUGUAAAUGAACAAAACUGUGUUAUGGUUUUGACUAUAUUCGUGUCUGGAAGGAAUGCAAUGUAUACCUAUCUUUAUGGUAAGGUACAUCUGACCUUGACAAUAAUUACAUGCCUUGGAUAUUUGAAGUAAGACUUAAAGAGUUUACAAAAUAUCAGUAUAGCAGACGAGACAUGUCUGUGUUUGCACUCUUGCUUUUACAGAAACGUUGGCUAAAAAAAAGGGAAACGAUACUUAUUUAAUUGUUUAAAAUACAGCACACUGUGUGAGUUAAGCAAUAUGCAAUUUCAACAGGC
rnacentral:lncRNA from 1 species